AUACAGAGGGUGCGAGCGUUAAUCGGAAUUACUGGGCGUAAAGCGCGCGUAGGCGGUCUAUUAAGUCAGAUGUGAAAUCCCAGGGCUCAACCUUGGAACUGCAUCUGAUACUGAUAGACUAGAGUUUUGGAGAGGGAAGUAGAAUUUCAGGUGUAGCGGUGAAAUGCAUAGAGAUCUGAAGGAAUACCAGUGGCGAAGGCGACUUCCUGGCCAAAAACUGACGCUCAGGUGCGAAAGCGUGGGUAGCAAACGGGAUUAGAAACCCUAGUAGUCC
rnacentral:rRNA from 1 species